AGGCCGGGGGGAUCCGCUACAGAUCGGCACGUUCAGCGGCAAGUGCCUGGCCUUCCUUUGCCCCCCUUUCGUUUGAAGAGAGGAGAAGAAACACACACGCCCCAAAAGGCUCGAUCGUCUCCGGAGAACUCCCCCUAAGAAAGCCUACAAAGGAGAAUAAAAACUGCCAUAUAAAAAUGCUCUAUUGGUCUUCGUAGUUCAAUAGCAUAUUUACAACCAUGACUAAUACUGGAUGCUUCAGAGAGGGAAUAAACUCCAUACUACACCUAUGUGUGCAAUAUCAUCACAAAACAUUUUUUCUGAUUCCAGUUGAUCAGCUUAUGCUGUAAAGAACAAAGACAGAGAGACUUUUUCAUUUUAUUCUGGACAUUGUUACUAUUUUUAUUGUCUUUUAUGUUUUGAAUUUAUUUUUUAUUAAUUUAUGAUAAUGUAAUAUUUUUACAUAAUUCCUUUCACCCAGAAGUGCCUUACAAAUGAAUUGCAGUCCCUAUACACCUGGGUUGGAAUAGGGCAAUUGUUAAACACCACGCACAGUAAUGGUGCUCAAUAGUGCUCAAACAGGAAGUAAAAAAUUUAGAGCUGAAUCUGACCCCUAGUCUUUAUAACCAGGGUCUGGUCCUACAAAUACUAAAGCCCCUGAAUAAUUUUAUUCAUGUGAGUAGUCCCACUGUGUAAUUCAUUGUAGGAUCAGACCUUGAUAAUGGACUGUAACUAAUAUUAGAAAGAUAUUGCAUUGAAAAACUAAGUAUCAACUACUGGUUCAGUAGUAAUAAGGUGUAGAGCGAGUCCAAAUGGAACUACUCACACGCUAUUAACUCAACUCACUGUGUUACUCACAUGUUUCAAUGUUCUCAGGAUCAGGCCCAUUCAUUUCUUCUUUGAAGAGAUUACUGUGGUGAUGGGCUAUGACUUUUUUUUUUUUUUUAAUGUCAUGAGUUGCUUUCUCUUUGUUUUUUCCUUUGGAGCAAUUGCUAUGAUAUUAGUUUAAUAUGCACUUGAUAAUAAGUCCUUUACUUUGUUUGUGAUAAGAAGUUUCAUAUAUUAAAAUCCAUUUGUGGAUUGGUCAAUAAAUACAGAAAAUUUUCACGCU